rnacentral:rRNA from 1 species
GAUGAACGCUGGCGGCGUGCCUAAUACAUGCAAGCCGAGCGAACGGACGAGAAGCUUGCUUCUCUGAUGUUAGCGGCGGAAGGGUGAGUAACACGUGGAUAACCUACCUAUAAGACUGGGAUAACUUCGGGAAACCGGAGCUAAUACCGGAUGAUAUUUUGAACCGCAUGGUUCAAAAGUGAAAGACGGUCUUGCUGUCACUUAUAGAUGGAUCCGCGCUGCAUUAGCUAGUUGGUAAGGUAACGGCUUACCAAGGCAACGAUGCAUAGCCGACCUGAGAGGGUGAUCGGCCACACUGGAACUGAGACACGGUCCAGACUCCUACGGGAGGCAGCAGUAGGGAAUCUUCCGCAAUGGGCGAAAGCCUGACGGAGCAACGCCGCGUGAGUGAUGAAGGUCUUCGGAUCGUAAAACUCUGUUAUUAGGGAAGAACAUAUGUGUAAGUAACUGUGCACAUCUUGACGGUACCUAAUCAGAAAGCCACGGCUAACUACGUG